rnacentral:rRNA from 1 species
CACUCUAGGCAGUGAAUGACUUGGCUCAUAUGUCUACUAAGAACACAGCUAGCUGCAGGAGUUAUUGUGAAUGGCAGGACACACUGAUUACUGACAGUUUGAAUGUACUUAUAGCCCCAGGUUCAUCUCGGGGCCAUGCCUUUCUGACAGUCA